AAAAGAUACUGGCGCAAAACAUACAGAAAAUCUAGGACACAAUGGGAGGAUCGAACCUAAGGAUAAUAGGUAUAGAAGGGAGUGAAGUAAAAUAUCUUCAACAGAAUCAUAGAAGAAAACUUCCCUAACCUAAAGAAAGAGAUGCCCAGAAACAUACAAGAAGCCUACAGAAUUCUAAAUAGAUUGGACCAGAAAAGAAACUCCUCCUGUCAUAUAAUAGUCAAAACACCAAAUGCACAAAACAAAGAAAGAGCUCUUACUCUCUCUUACCCCUCUUGCUCUUUGUACUUCUCUGUUCUUGUCCUCAUCCCCCUCUUCCAAGUGCCUAUGGUCAGCCGCCUUUCCUCUCUUCUUCUACUAUUCUCUCAUUAAACCUCUCCACGUGGAAAAAAAAACAAAGAAAGAAUAUUAAAAGCAGUAAGGGAAAAAGAUCAAGUAACAUGUAAAGGCACACCGAUCAGAAUUACACCACACAUCCACCAGAGACUAUGAAAGCCAGAAGAUCCUGGACAGAUGUCAUACGGACCCUAAAAGAACAAAAAUACCAGCCCACGUUACUGUAUCCAGCAAAACUCUCAAUUAAUAUAGAUGGAGAAACCAAGAUAUUCCAUGACAAAACCAAAUUUACACAAUAUAUUUCUACAAAUCCAGCCCUACAAAAAAUAAUAAAUGAUAAAGCCCAACACAAGGAGACAAGGUACACCCUAGAAAAAGCAAGAAACUAAUCAUUUUGCAACAAAACAAAGAAAAGACAAG
rnacentral:lncRNA from 1 species